GUAUCCAUUGUAUCUGUCAUUUUUGAUUUGGGCGGUACGUUGGGCGUUUUGGCGAUUACUUUUAGAUAACUAAAGAUUAUUAGACCUAUUGUUAAAAUUUAAAUUACAAAAUGGAUUUCUUUAAAGACGAAAGUGAUGAUUAUAUGUUUGAGGCCGUUCUAUUUGAAUCUAUGGUAGCUAUAGAAAAUAAUGAUCGAAGAAAAUAUAGUCGCAUCAAUUAUCAAGCGAACUUUCAAUCUCUGAAUUCACAUUUAGAUUCAGAUUGAACCAGUUUUGUCAUUGUCAGUGAGUUAAAAUUUUACCGAAUUUAAGAGUAACAUCCAGCUGAAACUAUGGUGUAUCGCCACUAUACAAAUUGCUGCUAACACUUAGGUUCUAUGCAUUGGGCACAAUGCUAAUAUAUGUUGCGGACUUCAUUGGAGUUUCAAAAGCGUGAAUACAGCAAGCAGAAUUGUUAAUGAUGUAUCCUGUGCAAUAGCUGGAUUAUAUCCACAAUAUGUUCAAGUAUUAUAAAAUCCUCAGUGUCUUUUGUUAUUGUGAAUUUCCUAAAGUUUUUGGUGCAAUUGAAUGUGUCUCCAAUUCCAAUGUAGGAAAACAGUACAGAAGUAGGAAAGGAAUAUUCUCAAAUAAUGUUCAAGGAGCAUGUAAUAUGGAUCUAUUGUUCUUUAUAUAUGUAGUCGCUCAGGUCAGUGGCCAGGGCCUUUUCAUGAUACUACUAUAUUCAACAACUCCAUUCUGUUCUUAAAAUGCAAUGUAAGGGCAGGAAUUAUAGAAAUAGGUGGCUUAUUGCGACAGUCCUUAUGCUUGUACAUGAUGUAAGCAUAUAUCAAAGCUAGAUACACAAUAGAAAGAUGCUUUAGUGUAAGGGAAAAGGUGCUUUACCGUGCUUUCAUUAAAACUUCACCUAUUAUUACAAACAUCACAAACUAUUAUUAUUGCUGCUUCUGUGUUACACAACAUUUACUGACUUAACAAUGUUAUUGAUAUGGACCAGAUGUAGAGAUACUGACUGAGCAAAUUGACGAUCUUCCAAUUGAAGAAGUUGUAUGUGAACAUAAUAGUGCAAAGCAACAUCUGAUAAAUAAUUAUUUUAGAUGUUAUGUAUCUGCUGUCAUACUUUAAGAUGUUAUCUCAAAAUAUUUCCAAUUUGGAAAAUUUUUGAAAUUUGUGUUGGCUGAUAAUUUCAGCCCAAUAUAAAUAUAUAAAGAAAAACAUUUAAA